rnacentral:lncRNA from 1 species
UGCUGUGCUAUUUGGCGUGUUGGCUACCAUUGCUUUAACGAGUUCAAAAUUGGCAGUUUCAGCAGCCAUGCACAAGGGAGUCUUACUGAAGUUAUUUGUAGAAUGCGACGUGGAUCCAUCUUUGCCGACCAAAAACAUAGCCACAUCUUGAUGAUUAUUUUCCACAGCGACAUGCAACGCAGUGUUUCCUCUCCUGUCCUUUUCAUUAAACGUAUCACCUUGAGCCGUGUCUACCAAACAAUGAACUGCGGAUAGAUGGCCAGCGGAUGCAGCUACAUGAAGCGGAAGUUCUCCAUCAUCAAUUUUUUUGCGGACAAGCCCCGGAAAAUUUACGGUAAUUAGUUGGAUAAGCUUCACGUGGCCUGUAUUUGCAGGAAGGUGAAGCACCGUGUUCCCACGGAUGCUUACUUUGUUUUCACUACUUAGGACCAGCGAUACUAUUUGAUCAGGAAUAUUACAUAUAAGUAUUGCACAUGUGGCUCCGGCAAAAUACUUUGUGCGCAUAGCCCAUAUAAACUCUUGACGGAGGCAAAUACACUGUAAAGUUACUCCUGAUUUAGGCAUCGUUGCAUACCUGUGUAGUAUAGGAUCCAUGCGCGUGUCGCCUGCCUCGGUGUGUCCUGCAGCGUUCUCAUGAGCACCCUCCCUCGCCAGUUAUUUGAUCUUCUGGUCUUGAACUCCAGCCAACAUCCUCCAUUGCUAUUUCACCUUGUCUUAAACUUGAAGCAGCCAUUAAUUUGCAGAUUAGCUACAUAGGUGCUUUUCCCACGGAGAAAAUAUGACUCUUGUUUACUGUACGAUUUUUGGAGUCUUGAGUCUCGCACAUUUUGAGGGGGUCCUCCAUAUGGAAGACCACUGUCGCCUUCCAAUGCAAGUUGCGGAACUAUUAUAUAUGACAACGUGGUUGACUGACCUAAAAAACAACAGACUAAUGAUACACUUAAUACAUUUUUUUAUAUAAUAUUUGUAUCAUCUCUUUAAUAGGAGUAGCACCCACCAACACAUGUAGAUCUAUACAAAAGUGAUAUUGACACACCCGAUCCUGAUAUUCUCCCAAACACCAGAGUAGGCACGUGCUAGCCGACACUCAAAGGUGACGAAGCCAUAUUAGAAAGCAUGAGAACAAGAAAGAAAUAAGAUUCAUAAAUUGAAAUAUAAUGAAUAUGCAUUUAAGGAACGUGUUCAGAGCACACAUCUAAUCUAGAACACUAAAAGAAAUAAUAUAAAAAUUGAAUGAACAAAUGAAUGGGUCCUACAUCGAGAGGACUCGAAGAUGUCGAUAUGAAAGUGCCUUGACGCCGGGAUUGUACGCCUCGAUUCUAAGUCCUGAGGGGGCGCAAAACAAACAUGAGUGGACUGAUAGGAUUAAAAGCACACCACAAAGUAGCACACAAAUGUCCUAUUGAUUUUCCUUAUUAACACUAAGAUUUGUCAAUUGUAGCAUAUGAAAAUAAGGGUCUUUCCUGCAGAAGAUUGUUUUAUCUAACUACUUAAAAUGUCACAAAAACUGGUUGUUGUCCCUGCUGUCCCUACUAACAAACUUGCAAUCAUAUCCGGGGCUUCAAAACAGCCCCUAACUACUAAAAAUUUAGUUACACAUUAUUAUCAAAUAAAACCGAAAGAAAGACAUGAGUUUGAGAAGACAAAACCGAGAGAAGGGAAUGCCAAGAUUUCCUCCUUCAUUUCCUUCCUUUCCGCAAAGCUGCCUUGUCCUCUUUCUUUUCUAUUUUUUUUCCUUUCUCUUCUUUUUCCAACGCUGCAACCUGCACCCUUUCCCCUUUUUAACUUGCUGCCCCAUUUUCUUCUCCUUAACUCACCCACUAACAGCCAUUUAGUGAUGGCAAUAAGUGAGAGGAAAUGGUAAAACAAUUGUAACUCUUUGGGUAGCGUUUAUGCCAAUUACUCCCACUUAAUCCUCAUCUUUAUUUUCAUUUCCUCUGAUAUUUGAAUAGGUAUCAACUGGCUUGUUCUUGGCUGCAUCAGUUUUGGCUGCUAGCUUUAUUGGGUUUAUUGCUUUCAUUGUAGUUACAAACUGCCCAGUCUCUUGUGAACCUUUCAGUGUUAAAACAGCCAUAACUUCUUCUACAAAAAUGAUAUUAACAAUCCGCGAAAUGUUCCAACAAAUAGACAUCCGUAGCUUUCCAAGCAUAUAAGGCUCAUUCUCUAAUUCAUUUUGAGUUGUUCACAACUAGCUUCCAAAGUCAGCUGACCUGCACAGACAGUUUUGACGAAUUUGUUACUUAAAAUCCCACUUGUGCUAUUUUUCUUUUCUUUGCUUGACAAAUCCUAGAAAACACAAAAACAAAGUAAAUAGCUCAAAAAUAUAAGGAACUAACUAAGAAAAGACAAGUGAAUUUGAUGUAAAGUAUAUAUAAAUAUGAGUUUAUCAAAUACCCCCACACUUAGCUUUUGCUAGUCCUCGAGCAAAACGAAGAAAAUAUUAAAAAGUAGCAACAUGAAAAACAAUAGCUUCCCCCUAUGUGACCCUCAUAGAAUUUCAUUCAAGAAAACAAAUCAUCAAGACCCUUAGCUAGUACCAAACAAGCUAAUCAAGCUCAUCUUCCUUAUUCAAAUGUUAGCAAUAACCUUUUAAUCAUCCAUGAAGUGUAGUGUGUGUAAUAGUCAUGCUAAUGCAAUUUCAAGUUUUUUUUUAAAACACCACAUGCUAACUAGUGACCUUCUUACGGAACAUACACUCAAUCACACAUAUUUAGUUUAACGUGUUUCGCUCAAAGAAUCAAAUGUGAAAGAUCUACCAUAAGCUUGUAUAAAGAUCUCAUCUCCACAAUCAUAAUUGCAAAACUUAAAUCAAGAGGACUUUUAUUGGUUGUAAUGAGGCUUAGGAAGAGGGUUAUAGAAAUGAAAGGAUAGGUAAACACAAGUUCCAAGCUACAUUGCAAGCAAUUCUCUUGUUGAGAUUUACAAGAACUCAAGCUCUCCAACCACUCUACUAAUACCUCCAACCACACCCCUAAACUGAAACUAAAAAAAAAACUUUUUAUUUACUUUGUAUACUUUUUUUUUCUUUCUUUUUCUUCUUUUUCUUCUUUUUCUUCUUUUUUUUUUAUUUUUUUUAAUUUUGAAUCAAUUUUGCACAUAACUAAAUACAAACAUGAAAUACCCCCACACUUAUUCUUUUUCCAAACUCCUUCAAAGUACUUCACAAACAUUUCUCAUAAGACAAUCUCACAUUGCUCACUAGCCAGCUUGGAAAGGGUAAGGAAAUAUGUUAAAGGUAUAAGGGUAGACAUAUCUGGUGAUAAGAAAUAAAAGGCUCAAUAUAUACGGCUCAAAUUGGCAAUCUAAUGAUAUCAUUUCUCUUUAGGAAACAUGCUUAUUUGGGUCAUGGUGAUAAACCUAAUGCCUCUACCUUUUCAAGUUCAUGCAAUCAAAUGACAAACAUUUCAAAAGAUCGUUACGCAAGUUCUAGAGAUGUAAGUCACAUAAGUUCAUCACACAUGAAAGAAUAUGAGUGUAUGAAAAAUGCACACUUUCAAUAGGCUCAAAAACUCACAUAGGUUGUAUAUGGUCACUAUAUUCACAUGUGAAGCUUUAAGUCAUACUUUAGUUUCACAUCAACAAGGCUAUGUGGAUUUGGUUUUUCACAGAUGAUUAAACAUGUACAAGGCCAACAAGAGAAUAAGGAAUUUAACAUAACACAUGCUUACUAAGUUCUUGAUCACUGUUGUUCAAAUUCAAUCCAAUUAUAUCAUUGGGUCAGGAAACUAACAAAAAUCUAAUUCAAAACAAUAAAGAAAAUAAGACUAUUUUUUAAUUUUCAAAUUUUCUGAAUGUUUUUGUGUUUUUGUUUAGAGUAAAUAAAACUAACUAAGAAAACAAAAAGAAACAACACGAAAACAAAUCAAACCAGUUCAAAUUUUCAAUUUGGUCAUUUUUUUUCAAUCCUUACCCCCAAACUUAAACUAGACAUUGUCCCCAAUGUCAAAAAAACACAAUAAUUAAAGAUAAAAUAAAAUAGUAAAAAAAACAAAAUAAAGCAUUUGGACUAAAAACUUCCCCAAUUUGCAGUAAAAUCAAGCGAUGACCCCCAAAUUCCAAUUCUGCAAUCAACUCCAAUGGUAGGCACGAUCAAAUUUUCCUACAAAGAAAAGAAAUAAGUCAGUUUAGCAUGCAAGAAAAUUCAGAAAACAAAAACAAAUGGAAAAUUGAAAAUGACAUAAAAAGACAAUGAAUAGAAAUAUUGGGUUGUCUCCCAAUAAGCGCUUGCUUUUACGUCCGCAGCCAGACGGUGCCAAGAGUAAUCAUCCAAGGGGAGAUGGUUCUUGGAGGGGUACAACCUCCACAUCAUGCUCCGCAAAAGACUCGUAAUAUGGCUUGAGUCUAUGUCCAUUCACUUUGAACACAUUUUCGGUCUUUGCACUUUGGAUUUCCACUGCAUCAUGAGGAAAAAUAUUAGUUACAACAAAUGGACCAACCUAUUGAGAACGAAGCUUACCUGGAAAUAACCGAAGGUGAGAAUUAAAUAGAAGAACUUUUUGUCCAAUGGAAAAGCUCUUCCUUGAUAUCAUCUUGUCAUGAAAUGCCAUUGAUUUCUCCUUGUAUAUUCGACUAGACUCGUAUGCAUCAUUCCGAAUUUCGUCUAACUCAUUCAAUUGGAGCUUUCUAUGCUAUCCGGCAACACUCAUGUCCAUGUUGUAGGCUUUGAUCGCCCAAUAAGCUUUGUGUUCUAACUCUACUGGAAGACGACAUGAUUUCCCAUAAACUAACCGAAAUGGGGACAUUCCAAUAGGAGUCUUAUAGGCAGUCAUAUACGCCCACAAUGCAUCUUUUAAGCGCAUGCUCCAAUCUUUCCUACUAGGACUCACAGUUUUCUCCACAAUUUGCUUCACCUCACGGUUUGAUACAUCUGCUUGACCACUAGUUUGUAGAUGAUAAGGUGUAGACACCUUAUGUGUGACAUUGUACUUCCGAAGCAACGCUUCAAAUGUUCUAUUGCAAAAAUGACUCCCUCCAUCGCUGAUGAUUGCUCUAGGUAUUCCAAAUCUUGCAAAGAUGUUACUCUUAAUAAAAUCUGAAACAACUUUUGAAUCAUUAGUUUUGGUGGCUUUUGCUUCCACCCAUUUAGAAACAUAAUCCACAACCAAUAAAAUGUAAAGAAAACCAUUAGAAGAUGGAAAAGGUCCCAUGAAAUCAAUUCCCCACACAUCAAAGAUCUCAACAAUCAAAAUAGGGGUUUGUGGCAUUUGAUUUCUUAGGCCCAAGUUACCUGUUCGUUGACAACGAUCACAUGUUUCACAAAACUCGUACGCAUCCUUAAACAAACUAGGCCAAUAAAAACCACUCUCUAACACCUUAAGAGUUGUCAUCUUUGCUCCAAUAUGGUCUCCACAUGCAUAAGAAUGACAAAAAGUUAGAAUAGAUUUAAACUCAGAUUCGGGGACACACCUUCUAAUCAAUUGAUCAGGGCAAUAUUUCCACAAAUAAGGAUCAUCCCACUCGUAAUAUUUGGCGAUUUUGACAAGCUUAUCUUUCUGAGCACGUGUAAAAUCAUCCGGAAUCUUUGUGGUGACCUUGUAAUUGAUAAUAUCUGCAUACCAAGGGUUAGUAGCCUUUAAUGAAAACAAUUGCUCAUCCGGAAAACUCUCAUGUAAAGGGAUGAGAUCUUCCUCUGUGUUUGAAUGCACAAGUUUGCUAAGAUGAUCUGCUACAACAUUCUCACUUCCUUUCUUAUCCUUGAUCUCCAAGUUAAACUCUUGAAGUAGAAGUAUCCAUCGAAUGAGUCGCGGUUUUGUAUCUUUUUUUAUGAGUAGAUACUUCAAAGCUGCAUAGUCAGAAAACACAAUAACUUUAGUCCCAAUCAGAUAAGAUCUAAAUUUUUCUAAAGCAAAUACACAGCUAAAAGCCCCUUCUCUGUUGUUGAAUAAUUCAACUAUGCAUCAUUGAGUGUUCGAGAUGCAUAGUAGAUGACAUGUGGCACUUUGUUGACACGCUGCCCUAGAACUGCACCGACGACAUAGUCUGAAGCAUCACACAUCAACUCAAAAGGUAAACUCCAAUCUGAUGGUAUGAUCACAGGAGCCGUGGAUAACAAAUCCUUACGCUUGCUGAAUGCUACCACACACUCUUCAUUCAUAUCAAAUGUUACAUCUUUUUGAAGCAAACGGCAUAAAGGUCUAGAAAUCAUUGAGAAGUCCUUCAUAAACCUACGGUAAAAACCUGCAUGUCUAAGAAAAGAACGAACCUCCCUGAUAGUAGUAGGGAGGGGUAAAGAACUAACAAGUUCUACUUUAGAUUUAUCAACUUCAAUUCCAUUUUCAGAUAUGACAUGCCCUAGAACUAAUCCAUGUGAAACCAUGAAAUGACAUUUUUCCCAAUUUAAGACUAGGUUAGUUUCUUGGCAACGUUUUAAAACUAGAGACAAAUUAGGUAGACAUGUAUCAAAAGAAUCACCAUAAACUAAAAAAUCAUCCAUGAACACUUCAAUUAUUUUCUCAAUCAUAUCAGAAAAGAUACUUACCAUACACCUUUGAAAUGUGGCGAGAGCGUUGCAAAGUCCAAACGACAUCCUCCGGUAUGCAAAUGUGCCAAAUGGACAUGUGAAAGUCGUCUUUUCUUGAUCCUCUAGAGCAACUGCAAUUUGAUUAUAUCCAGAAUAGCCAUCAAGAAAACAAUAAUGAGAAUGACCAGCUAACCUUUCUAACAUUUGAUCAAUGAAUGGGACUGGAAAAUGAUCCUUGCGUGUGUGUUGUUUAUCUUUCAAUAGUCUGUACAAACUCUCCAACUAUUUUGCACACAUGUAGGCACUAGCUCAUUAGCUUCAUUCUUAACAAUUAUGACUCCGGAUCGUUUCGGAACUACUUGAAUAGGACUCACCCACUUGUUGUCCGAGAUAGGAUAUAUGAUGCCAACAUCAAGAAGUUUGAUAACCUCUUUCUUGACAACCUCCAUCAUAAGUGGGUUCAAACAGCGUUGAGCUUCCCUUGUUGGUUUUGCACCUUCCUCCAACAGAAUCCUAUGUAUACAUGUAGCUGCAUUUAUACCUUUGAUAUCUGCAAUACUCCAAGCUAUGGCAGUUUUGUGAUCCUUCAAUACCCGAAUCAGUUUCUCCUUCUCUUCUGCUGUGAGUUGUGAUGAUAUGAUGACCGGUAAUGUUUCAUCCUCUCCUAAAAAUGCAUACUUCAAAUGUUUAGGAAUCGGUUUAAGCUCCAAUUUGGGUGCCUGAGUCCCAGAAGGAAGAGUUUUUUCGUUAGAAGUAGGAAGAGAAAUAAAAUAAGAAAAAGACUUACCACGAAUUGGUGAAAGAGACUCAAGAACGGCCACUGUUUGGAUUAAUUCUUCUUCAGUGUGCUCUGAAUAAUUAAAAUUUCCAUGUGUAAUGCUAUGCACUAAUGUCUUCUCUAAAUUAUCUUGUCCCACACCUUCAUUAAAACAAUCCUACACAAAAUAGUCAAACACAUCAAUAGACAAAUAAGAUUCAAAAUCACUAGGGUACCUCAUAGCAUUGAAGAUUCUAAACUUGACGCAUUCCCCAUCAAUUUCCAUGGUUAAGGUACCAUCGUAGACAUCAAUCUUCGUACGUGCUGUUCUAAGGAAUGGUCUUCCCAAUAUAAGAGGAAGUGCAGUAGGCAUAGGGUCAUGUUCCAUCUCAAGAACAAAAAAGUCAGCGGGAAAAAUGAGCUCAUUCACCUGCACAAGUACAUCGUCCAAUAGGCCUUUAGGAUAUCUAUUUGAACGAUCUGCCAACUGGAUUACUACCUUUGUUUCCUUCAAGUCUCCAAGGUUCAAUGAUUCAUACAUUGAAUAUGGCAUCAAAUUGAUGGAUGCACCCAAAUCACACGAUACUUUCCCAAACUUUUUCCCUCCGAUUACACAUGGAAUGGUAAAGCUACCAGUAUCUUUCAACUUCGGUGGCUGCUUCCUCUGCAAAAUAGCUGAUACUUCCUCGCUUAAUGCCACAGUUUCUUGAUCAUAGAAUCUCCUCUUGUUCGUACAAAGCUCUUUAAGGAACUUUGAAUACUUGGGCACUUGUUUUAUGGCAUCUAAAAGAGGUAAAUUCACUUGGACUUUCCGGAAAGUAUCCAAGAUUUCCUUAUCAGUUUGCUCUUUCUUAGACUUCAUAAACCUAAGAGGAAAAGGAAUAGGGACACAUAAGUUAAAUGAAUUUUGAACUUCUUUACUUACCUUAUCAGAAUCUUUUGUGUUCAAUUUUGUAGCUUUAUGAGACUUUUCAGUUUCUGUUGAAGCCUCAUCUUGCUCAAGAUUCUUGGUUUGUAGCUCCCCUUGCUCAUUUGUAUAUUUUCUAGUUCUCUUUUGCAUCCUUGACUACUCAAAAACUUCUUUUCCACUCCUUAAAGUCACAACAUUCAUCUGCUCUGCAUUUGGAUUCACCACGGUCUGGCUAGGCAACCUUCCUGGUUGGUGUUGUUGCCCCAUCAAACUUGCUAACUGACUCAUUUGGCACUCAAGGUUUUCAAUUGCUUUGUCUGUUUUCUGUUGAUGAGAUUGAGUAGAGUUAGCUAAAGAAGUAAUUAAAUCCUCAAGAGACUUACUUGGAGCUUGUUGUUGUUGAGGCUGAAAUGGUCCCUGCGGUCUUGCUUGAAAGAAGCUAGGUAGACGGUUAUAGUUGUUGGGAACAGAUUGUUAUUCGUUGUCUUGAUUGUUCCACUUUAAGUGUGGAUAAUCUCGCCACCCCGCAUUAUAGUUGUUGGAGUAUAGAUCAUACUUUUGCCUUUGUUGCCCCUGAAACCCUUAUAACGCAUUAGCUUGCUCAAGACCACCUUGAUCCAUCAAUGAAGGGCACAUGUUCGUGGCAUGUCCCGUCAUUGAACAUACACCGCACACCUGUUUUGGAGCCACCAUAACCUGUUACACAAGAUUAGUCAAGUUAGCUAAUUGUAAUUCAAUACUAGAAUUAACACUUACCUCAUUAACUUUCUUAAGAGGUAGCUCAUCUCUCCCUCCAAAUUGUCGUGUAUUGCCAACAAUGUUCUUUAAUAAUGCCUUAGCAUUUGUUGGUGUCUUGUCCAUGAAUGCUCCUCCACUUGCUGCAUCAAGCAUUACACAAUCAGUACCACACAAUCCUUCAUAAAAAUACUGUAUUAAAAGAUGUUAUGAAAUUUGAUGAUUAGGACAAGAUGCCACCAAAUGUGUGAAUCGCUCAUAGUAAUCUCCAAAGGGUUCUCCAUGUUGUUGUCGGAUUGCACAUAUGUCCUUCCUUAUGCUUGCAGCUUUUGUGGUUUGAAAAUAUUGCUCCAAGAAUGAUUACUUCACCUGGUUCCAUGUGUUCAUUGAUCCCGGAGGUAAAUUGUAAAGCCACUCUUUUGCCUUAGCUUCUAAUGUAAAUGGGAAUGCCCUCAACUUGACUUGCUCCUCAUCAACAUUUGUGGUCUCAUUCCCGAGUAUACCACUUGAAACUCCAUGAGAUACUUGUUGGCAUCCUCUGUUGAGAAGCCACGGAACUUAGGCAAGUAGUGAAUCAUGCCGGACUUGAGCUCAAAUCCUCCUUCUACAUUUGGAUAUGUGAUGCACAAUGGUUGUUCAUCUGUAUUUGGCGUUGCCAAUUCCCUCAAAGUACGGUUAUCAGCCAUGCCUUCUUGUGGUUCUUCCUCCUCUUCCGAACUCAAAUGUGGUGCAGAAGAUGGUGGUAAAGACACCGAUGCAUGCUCAGGAUCGUAGGAAGCAAUUCCCUCAAAGUUCGUUCAAGCUCAGAAUCGUAGGAAGCAAGAUCAAUGCUCUUGGACCUUCGAGUAUGCAAAUACUACGAAUAGUACCUGAAAUAAAAACAAAAACAAAACACUAAUUAGGCAAGAAAAGAAAACAAUAGAAAAUUAGUAAUUAGAAAUAACAAUCCCCGGGGACACAACGCCAAAAAUUUGAUAGGAUUAAAAGCACACUACAAAGUAGCACACAAAUGUCCUAUUGAUUUUCCUUAUUAACACUAAGAUUUGUCAAUUGUAGCAUAUGAAAAUAAGGGUCUUUCCCGCAGAAGAUUGUUUUAUCUAACUACUUAAAAUGUCACAAAAACUGGUUGCUGUCCCUACUGACCAGCCACCAAAAAAUAAUUAUUAGACCGACUUACAAUUAUCUAAAUUCUACAAAAUUUUAUAUAAAGACACUAGACACACAAAGCUACACUUCUACAAUUUUUUGGGAUUUUUGGAGUUGAUUUGCUAAUUAAAUUGAACAAAAACAGGACAAAAACAAAUUUUAAGUAGUUCACAAAUUAAGAAAAACGAGUUAGGGGAAUUGCUAUCCACCACCAAAUAAUCAUGCAAACAUGUUAUGUUUCAUUCAAUCCGGAUGAAGAUGCUCAAGUUGGCUCAAUGUUAGAACUCAACCUAUUACUCUUUCUUAUGUAGUAUGUUAAAAGAAUGACGCUUUCAACUUAACUUAGUCCCUAGCAUGCAAUCUAGAAUGGCGUGUUCAUAGAUUUAACAAGUAGAAAUCAUUAAGAAUGAAAAGAGUUUGAGUCAUCACAAGACAUCGUAAGUACUGGCGUUGUCUUACUUAUCCUAAAAAUUGGUUCACAUGUUAAUUGCAAUUAACAAGUACUACUCUAGAACAUAUGUAGGUCCUCAUUCGACAAGGGCAGGCACACACAUAUUCAUAGCGUUAGAAUCCUAGAUAUGCUUACUAAGUAUGCAUCCGUAGAAAACACAUAAAGAAUUCAUCAAUGAGACAAGUAGUGAAUCAAUUUUCAUCCAUUCAUAAAAGUAAUUCAAACAAAAUGUCAUAACAAACUUGCAAUCAUAUUCGGGGCUUCAAAACAGCCCCUAACUACUAAAAAUUUAGUUACACAUUAUUAUCAAAUAAAACCGAAAGAAAGACAUGAGUUUGAGAAGAUAAAACUGAGAGAAGAGAAUGCCAAGAUUUCCUCCUUCCUUUCCUUCCUUUCCGCAAAGCUGCCUUGUCCUCUUUCUUUUCUAUUUUUUUUUCCUUUCUCUUCUUUUUCCAACCCUGCAACCUGCACCCUUUCCCCUUUUUAACUUGCUGCCCCAUUUUCUUCUCCUUAACUCACCCACUAACAGCCAUUUAGUGAUGGCAAUAAGUGAGAUGAAAUGGUAAAACAAUUGUAACUCUUUAGGUAGCCUUUAUGCCAAUUACUCCCACUUAAUCCUCAUAUUUAUUUUCAUUUCCUCUGAUAUUUGAAUAAGUAUCAACUAGCUUGUUCUUGGCUGCAUCAGGUUUGGCUGCUAACUUUAUUGGGUUUUAUUGCUUUCAUUGCAGUUACAAACUGCCCAGUCUCUUGUGAACCUUUCAGUGUUAAAACGACCAUAACUUCUUCUACAAAAAAUGAUAUUAACAAUCCGUGAAAUGCUCCAGAAAAUAGACAUCCGUAGCUUUCUAAGCAUAUAAGGCUCAUUCUCUAAUUCAUUUUGAGCUGUUCACAACUUGCUUCCAAAGUCAGCUGACCUGCACAGGCAGUUUUGAUGAAUUUGUUACUUAAAAUCCCACUUGUGCUAUUUUUCUUUUCUUUGCUUGACAAAUCCUAGAAAACACAAAAACAAAGUAAAUAGCUCAAAAAUAUAAGGAACUAGCUAAGAAAAGACAAGUGAAUUUGAUGUAAAGUAUAUAUAAAUAUGAGCUUAUCAUGGACCAAGUUGAUAUAUAAUAAUAAUAAAACAGUUAUUCAACAUACUAACCCCUAAAGUUUAUGAAAAUUCAAUAGUAUAAUAUGUAAUAGGUUUUCUGAAAACCCUAGCAUGCCAUAAAACCUUCAUAAAACAUAUAUCAUAUCGUGUGCUAAAUAGUGGUAUCAUAUAUCAGUGUCAUACGGCCAAAGCCACCAACCUACGCCCGACCGAAGCCACCAACCUACGCCCGGCCAAAGCCAUUAUAAGUAUCAUCACUCGCAGGCAGAACAGUGACUACUAGAUACGCAUAAAACAUUGAAUAUAAUCUUUCCAACAUAUGCGUGUGUGUGUGUAUAUAUAUAUAUAUAUCUCUCUCAAAAACAUCUUCAUAGUAUAAAGUCAUUCAUCAUUUAUACUACAAAGAACGCGAGUUCGAUAAAAUAUGGUAAUUCAAAAUAUUUUUAGUAAGCAUAAUAUCUCAUAAAACGUAAUCAUUAAAUCUUGCUUUUCAUGUAUGCAUUUCUAAUAUUAAAACAUGCAUUUUAGAAGGGGUCCACUCACAUAUACUUCGCCGUCGGAAAGCCACGCAAACUAGCGAAGACGGAAACACCACAAUAGAUGCCCCUAAGCACAUAAAAGGUCCAAUUAAUAAAACUCUAUUAAAACGAUUGAAUUUGGGAAAACAGACAUCAAAAACGGAUUCAGAACGUCGAAUUAACUUAAAAAGGGUCUCGGGUAAAUUUCGAAGAGUCAACACAAAGAAUAGUCCCUAAAGGAAUAUUCCAUCAGUUGGGCUGAUGGGUUUGGGCUGAAAGGUCCUAGGCCCAAAGGCUUGGGUUAUAAGGGUUCAUGGGUUUUGGAUCAAAGGGAAACGGGCUGGCUCCCUUAAGUUUGCAGACAUGGGCCUGGGCUUGAAAGCCUAGCCCUUACAAAAUAAAAUAAGAUAAAAACGGUUGGGCUUAGGGGUUUAGCGGGCCAAAGGCCAAAUGUUGGUCAUGACCCGAAGGGCUUGGUCUCAUUGGUUUGGGCUUGAAAGCCCGUGUCUCGCCAGGGAAGAAGGCCGAAAAACAACUGGGGAUUCCUUGAUCUCCAAUUGAGCUUGAUACUCAACCAAAACAUGCAAUCAAUAUACCAAUUUAAAGCCCGUACAAUAAGGAAUCGAGUUAUACCUAUCUCGUGGCCUGCCGUGGCCGCGUUUGGCCGAAAAGCCUUGGUUUUGUCACCAGAAAUAUGGGAAACAUGUCUUAGUCGUUUCUACGUCUUACAGUCAUAAAAAAUGACUCAAAACGUCCCUAAACUCACAAACAACACUAACCAAGAGGUACAAAGGGCUUACCUACGUUGAGGAUAAAAGAUUAUGGUCGGAGUUUGAUGAGAGAUGAAGAUAACAAUGGUCUCUGCCACUGUGGUGCACUACGGACCUAUCCUGGGUUCGAGGUCUUGCUUGGGAGGAUCCUCGGGUGUGUGUGUGUGUGUGUGUGUGUGUUUCAGAAAGGGGAGGGAUAACGCAGAAAAGGAGAGAGUUGCCGAGAGAGUUGCAGAGAGAGUUUCGGGGGAGAGAGUGAAGAGAGAACCGGGAUAGAGAAGGGAGAAAAAGUGGGAAGGAGAGAGGUGCCACUUAGCAAGCGGGGAAUAUGGGAACUGGGGACACAAAUCAGGGGGUGGGCCCCUUGGGCUCACCAUUUAAGACCAAAAAUAAUAUUUUAAACAACCCAAAUGAAAAAUACGAUAAUACCAAUUUCCUUUUGUAAGCUUCGGGACAAGUUGUUACAAUCCACCUCAAUUAAAUGAAAUUUCGUCUUGAAAUUUAAAAUAACUUGGUACACUAAAAACUCAAAAAUAGGGAGAAAAAAAAAAUAUAUAUAUAUAUACGUAACAAAGAAAUCAAGUCAGAGUGGUUGCACAAAAGGAAAAAUGUCACAUCGUCGCGAUCGGGUUGCAAUGAUUCCAUCUUUCGUGCCUCCAAGCUCGUACCUUUUUCCCCCAUCAGUGUAAAAGUAUAAGCAUACUUUAUAAAGAUAUAAAAUCAAAAACAUAUAAUAACGUAUGGUAAAAAAUAUGUACGUAAAAUACGAUAAUGUCAAAAUAGAUAUGUACUAACAUAUAGGUCGAAAACUCGUGCUAAACUUAAAACUGAAAAUGGAAAAGACUGCCCCAAACAUUUGUAACCUCGAAAAUAAGUUAAAACUAUAAUAAGGUAAUUUAAAAUACUUUUACUGAAAACCAAAACCGAAUAUGAAAGUAGGUCUCGCCCACGCAUACAUAACGUCACGUACUCCGACAAAAUGUGUCUUUGGGUCAAGCCCCAACAAUAGCAAAUCCGUAACAACUGUCGUAGAAGGGUCUUCCUACCUACUUGCUUAAUGAACCCAACAAAUAAGUUAUCUAUACAACAGUCGGCCACCCGCGAUAUCGACCACACAUUUGUUGUCUCGAUAAGCAAACAGUAAUUUCCCAAGGGUGCACAAUUUACCAUAUCGUAAAUUCGAUCCUCCGAAUACAAGUUCGCAAAAGUCCUCUGUCAACCAGUGUUGCUUGUAGAAACUCUUGUACCAUGUUGCAAAAAGUGCCAUACCCAAACCGAACAAAACAAAAAUGAUCAUCGUAAAAACUUCAUCCAGUACCAAGCACCCUAUCCUCAUCAGUUCUUCCAAAAGUGACCAACUACUCUAGUGUUUUGCUAACAAAGAACCCAUUUGAAAAAUGUACCUUAGGAUUCAAGAGAAGUGGCUACCAUAUUAAUAGUAGACCCAAAAGCUCAAACCAAGCAAGUAGAAAACGAGAAGUCACCUUCCCCAACAAGCAGUAUCUCUUGGGAGCUGUUAUAGUGCUCAAACCAGCUCACCAUUUUUGCUUAGUUGCAUAUUUCUAGUCAAACAAGGUCAAUGUUGGUGGAAAGAAGAAAAGACUCGCAAAUGAUCAACCUAAAAUCCCCAUGAGAGCACACACACCAUUUGAGAAGAGUGUAAAUUUAAAUGUGCUUAAACCACAAGACAAGUGAACACAAAGUGUCCCUCCAGGUCUAGAUAGUUCGUGGAUGAUACCCUAAAAAAUAUUGAGGCAAUGAACUUAUAUAUAUAUCGUUGGGAAGGAACUACUAGAUUACGAUAUGAUGUCUAUGAAUUGUAGCAAGAUAAUAUGAGGUGGCUAUUCAUUUCUGCAUGAAGAUAGUGAUAGGUGAUGCAAUCCGCUGACCAUCCGCACUACAAUCUUCAUCAAUCUCUUACUAAAAGACGACUCAAACCUCAUGGCCAUAAGAAACUCUUCUUGAUAAGUCUGGUAAGCUUGUGAAAAUAUUAUGCUUUUAACGUUCCUGUCCGAAAUGAUAUGAACUGGGCGCACACUUCAGCCGAGUUGAUCCCUCGUGAAUUCCUUACGAAUUGAGCGAGAAACCAUGUCGAGAAGGCUAAAAGAACACUCAAGAAUUUGAGGGUCAAAACAAGUCCAAGGAUGUUUCGUAAUUUCAUGACACCUUGUAAAGAUUUUCAAUUGCCAAUGGUCACAAACCUUUUGGAAAUUGAUGAGAAUAUCGUCUGCUACCAAAGAGUUGUACUGAUUCUGCAAAAUGGUCGAAGCCGAGUUGUACUGAUUCUACAAAAAUGAUUGAGGACGGAUUGAACUGAUUCUGCAAAAAUGAUUGAAGAGUGAUUGAACUGAUUAUACAAAAAUGGUUGAAGACAGGUUGAACUGACUCUGAGAAAAUGGUCGAAGACGGGUUGAACUGAUUCUGCAAAAAUUAUUGUCGAAUGAUUUAACUUAUUCUCCAAAAAUAGUCGAAUACGGGUUUAACUGAUUCUGCAAAAAUGAUCGAAGAUAAGUUAAACUGAUUCUGCAGAAAUGGUUGAGAACUGAUUAAACUGAUUCUGCAUAAAUGAUUGAGGACUGAUUGAACUGAUUCUGCAAAAAUAGUUGAAGGCAGGUUGAACUGAUUUUGCAAAAAUGGUCGAAGACGAGUUGAACUGAUUAUGCAGAAAUGGUUGAGGACUGAUUGAACUAAUUUUGAAAAAUGGUUGAAGACGGGUUGAACUGAUUUUGCAAAAUAGUUGAUGAUGGGUUGAACUGAUUCUACAAAAAUGGUCGAAGACUAAUCAUUGAACUGAUUCUACAAAAGUGGUCGAUGAUAAGUUAAAAUGAUUCUAGUAAUAAAGGAUAGAAACAAAUUCUACAUAUAAUUUCAAAACUGAUUCUGCAUAAAUAGUUAAUGAUGAGUUGAGCUAAUGACACAUUAAUUUUGUUGGAGUUGUGAAUGUUAGAUUCUAUUAACAAUCAUAAAGCCUUAGAAGUAUGGCUGAUAUUUUAAAACAUUGUUUUCAUGUUUUUUAGGCAAGACUUUAGUUGUUUUUAUAUUUUUGUCUCUCAUUGAUAUGUUAUAAAACUAGUGGAGUUCCUUGAAAUAUAGUGAAAUUUUUUAUCUCUAUAUAUGAAGCUCCCUUAUAAUUAAUGAUUUAAAAUAAUUUUUUUGAAAAAUUAGUUUACGUGGGGUGGUGAUUUUUGAAUUUUUUUCAUUUCAAAUUAUUUUACUAUUUUGCCCCUUCUUCAUUGAGUUGUCUUAUUUCAGUGAUGGAUGUAAGGAUGGGCAUUUUUUAAUACUAUUGUACAAACUUUGCUUUUCCUUAAAUAAUUUUUUUUUCUCAUAUUAUAUUAAUACUAAACCUCUUACCACAUGCUAAUGCGUAGGACAAUUUGUUCUUUUACAUUUAGUUUUUACUAGCUAGAGUGCCCGUGCGGUGCUACGGUGUUGUGUCUUGCUGCUGUACAAUUUACAAUAAGAAACAAUGAGUAGUGUUAAACUUCAUUAAUGUAAUGGGUCUGUUUUUAUUUCUCUUAGUGUCAUUGGCUGAAAUUAGGAGAAAUAUAAAAAAAAAUUUUGAAAUUGUCUAUUAUGAAGCAAAGGAAUCCAAUCGAAAUUAUACAUGUGCAUUUCAGUGGAAUCAAAUCAAAUUUAAUAAUAAUAAUAGAUGAUGUAUUACCUAUGAGGAAAAGGAGUUGGUAAAAUCAUUUCUCAAAUUAGGAAACCCAUGGCUCCAUCAUAGAGAAAAAUGUUAACAUUGAGAAAAGGUAAAAAAAUAUAUAAAAAAAAUUAAAAAAAAAUAUCUCGAAAGGAAACUGAGAUGAGGGAUUACAUUGACUGGAAACCACAAAUACCAAGCAAAGGAAAAAUGAUCAGCUACACCAAAUGACAACAUUUUGAUCCUUCAAAGUGUCAACUGAAAACAUAAAAAACCCAAUUAAAUGAAGGGAUCUACAUGUUAAGACAACGAAAAAAAAAAGUAGAUCAAAGCUAGAAAGUAUCAAACUUUACAACUUCGCUAAAAAGCAUAUAUUACUACAAAAGUACCUAUUUUUCGCAUUAAUGAAAAACGAUACAAUAUUAUUUCUUAUUUUUCAAAGAAUUUUAAACCUAGAAAUUGCCAUAUCUAGGUUUUCUUUUAUUCCAAAUUUAUUUAAGAAGCUCUGGUCAAAUCUCGGACAAAAUUGGGCAAUUCAAACAAAAUCCACACAAUGUAGAGAAUGGUUUGGGAGUGAGGUGCUUAAAAAAAAAAACCCAUGAAAAAAAACUGUGAGGGUUUUAGGUGUUUGGUAAACUAAAAAAAAAAAGCUUAUUUUGGAAGCUGCUGUGAGAAUAAGCUGAAAUCAAAGGAAAAAACUGAAGCUGCUAUUUGCAGCUUUGGAAAAUUGGCUUUUUUUCAAAGCACACAGAGCUACAGUGCUCCUUUAAUGAAAAUACCCACUAUCAGACUGCUUUUUUUUCCAAAGCACUUUUACAAAAAAGUUUACCAAACACUCUGCUAAUUUAUUUCACAACCGCUUAUUCUCACAGCACAGCCGCUUAUUCUCACAGCAGCUUUUUUUCAAAGCAGAGCAAUACCAAAUCAGCCCGUAGUCAUUACAAUCCUGAGGACCAACAUUUGAAAAAUUCAAAUAAAUUCACUGAUAAGGUACUUAAAAAAUAUAUAUAUAUAUAUAUGAGAUGAUAGAAUAACAAACUUUCUAGGUAAGAUCGCUUGAAUAUUGCGAGUCCAGAUGGAAUAGAAGGCGUUUCUGCUCAAAACUUUUCAAAUCAAGCUUUUAAAUAGUUCUAUUGGCGUACAGCGUAUUCUUCCAACCUGUAAUAGUCUCUGGCAUGAGAACACCAAGUUUUAUCAUGCAAACAACGCUAGCCUCCUAUUUCUUAUUAGGAAUGUGACCAGACAGUUUCUAAAGUAAGCGGGCACACAUUUUCCCCUAGAUUUUUCAAGGUUAAAAUGGUAUUGUAAUUUCAAAUUUAAAUUUCAUUUUGUCACAAUAUUAUAGCUGAUAAUCUUGUUUAAUUUAUUAUGCGUACAAUACAAUUUGUACACAACUAUAUUACAAACGAAACAAACAUAAACACUGAAAGAGAAAUCUUUUUUUUUAUAGCAGAGGAAGAAAUAAUUGCCUACUAAAAAACUUGGAGUGAGAAUCAGUGGAUAAAUUACAAAUCUAAUGGAUUUUUUAAAUAUAUAACUGAUAGUUUCAAACGGCAAGCAGAAGUAAAUGACCUGAGAUCGCAGAUGCUCCAGUAGUUUCAAACGGCAAGCAGAUUGUUUGAGGGUGUGAACACAGAUAGCGAUGGAGAGGAAGAGAAGUGGGGUCCAAUGUUUGAGGACUGCGAUAUUACGAUAUACCAAAUAAUCUUUUUAUUUAUUUUUAAAUGAUUAGAUUAGGUUUUCAAAAACAAAUUCAUACACUAAAAGAUAAUGACAUUUCAACUUUGUAACACAUGCUGAAAUCAUUUUUAUCAUACAUGGAAGACCAGAUUACCAUUAUGCUAAAAAAGAUCCACAAAUGGCAAGCAAUUCAGAUUUGGAAAGGAAAAGGGGUGUGCUAUCCACACAUCCCUUUUUACUUCUCACACACUCCUUGUUAAUUUUUAUCCAUAGAUCUUCUUCAAUUCAUCCGAUCCGACGGCCGAAAAUCAAAAAGAUGUGAGACAAGUAAAAAGGGGUGUGUGGAUAUCACACCCCAAGGAAAAAAGUACAAAUUCAUUCAAACAAAGAAAGCAGUAAUUGCAAAAGAAAAGAAAGAUAGUAGACCAAUGGUUUAUGGUGAUAAUCAUUAUGAAGAAAAGAAAUUGUUGGUUAUCAAUGUUGUGACACCCAUUGAUAAGAUUCUUUUGAGAGCUUUCAUAGUUGUUAAACCAAUUUGACUUUUGUUGUUGAGAAGGGUGCUUUCUGUAUGAAGAAAACAAAAUAUGAAGUUGGUUAUAAGCUUAAUGCACAAUACAAUGAUAUGUAUCACCAAAUGAGAAUACAAAACGUUUGUUCAUCUCAAUCAAAUUUUGUGAUUAAAUUAAAACAAAUGAAAAGAGAAAAACCCAAAAAAAAGACAUUAACAAUGAGAAACAUGACACGCCCCAAUCCAGAUAUCCAAAUGACACCUGGAUGGCACGUGUUGGCCAACACUCGAAGUGACGAAGCUAUAAAUAUGUGAAAAUGCAAGUAUAAAAAAGGGAACAUGAAAUUCGAGAAUCAUAUAACAAACAACAAUCAUAGGGAAAAAUACCAACGCAAGAAAGGCAAUCAUAACAUUCCAAAAUAAACAUGAAUGAAAGCGAUGUCCGAUGGUUUCAAUAUCCAAAAUAAAAGAUGCACGAGUAUGUCCAAUGUUCAGAGCAUAUUACAAAACGAACGGCAACGCAAGAAAGGCAAUAAUAACAUUUCAAAAUAAACAUGAAUGAAAGCAAUGUCUGAUGGUUUCAAUAUCCAAAAUAAAAGAUGCACAAGUAUGUCCAGAGCAUAUUACAAAAUGAACGGCUAACGAAAUGAAAGACAAUGAGUUACAGUCAAUCAGAAGGAAGCCAUACGCAAGUAGAAUGACAAGAAAUCACUGAUAGGGAAAUGCCUCGAUGCUCGAGUCUAGUGGCGGAUCCAGGAUUUUAAAUUCGGGAGAUCCCAAUAAUAAAGGUCAAAAAAUUUAUACACAAAAACAACAUUGAAAACUUAAAUAUAAUACAUUUCAUUCAAAAAUCAUAUGCAAAACAAUAUUACAAAUUAUAAAAUCAUAAUUCAAGGGUCCAUUACGAGGUUUCAUAAGUUACUAGGGAAUACCUAAAUUAUUGAUUAUCUAAUAUGGACCACUAAAUUUAAAACACCGGUAAAAUAAAACUGUCCCCAAACUCCCACUAUCUUUCUAACCAAACACACCAUUUUUCUCUUUUACUAGUUUCCAAACAUCCACUUUCUCUCUCACUAAGAACACAGUUGUCAUACCUCCACCAACCGCCUCCCUCCCCAUUCUCCCGAAGCCAUGGCAGCUCCACCCCCAUAUUUCACCAACCCAUGACAGAUCAUAUCCAUCUUACUAACCUUAUGUAGGAAAUUUCACCCAUAAGAAAAAAUACUAAGGUGGUUGAAAUAAUUUGGGGAAAUUUGGGCUUAUGUACUGCCCUGCCAGAUGACAGAGAAAGGUUGGAGGAGAAGUGGGUGGCACUGAUGGAUGAGACCAUGGCAGAAGCAAGGAGGAGAGAGGCUGGAAGGAUCCCUAUUUUCUUUCUUCUACGUGCACGGUCAUCUUCUCCAAGAAGAAGACAGCCACUGCAACCUACAACCUGCACAGACCUCAUGCUCGAGUACGAGGGGUCCCCGAAAAAUUUCUAGCAGUGAUUUAGGAUCGCCGACGGGUCCUAGGACCUCCCAGGUCCCUAUGUGGAUCCGUCCUUGCUUGAGUCGUACUCCUCGUCACUAGGUAUUGAAGGGGACGCAAAAACAAAAAAGUGAGUGGACCAUAAUUUAUAAUAAUAGUAAUAACACGAAUACCGUUUUCUUUUUCUGAACAUACUAACGUCCUGUUUUGAAAACUCAUAUAAUACUACAUAGUAGAUUUUUCUAAAAACUAACAUGCUAAAAAUGUUUGUAGCGGUAAAAUCAUCUCUGAAAAUCGUAUCUAAAUGCCUGAAGGGAAAUCUGAGAAUCUCGUAAAUCAACUCUAUGAUAUACUCUAGUAGAAGUAUCAUAGUCGCCCGAAGGGAAACCUAAUGUGUAUAGCCAGUGCAUUAGAAAAUCAAACCUUGAAUAUAAUACAACGAACAUGGCUCUGCGAGUAGCCCACUUCAAGCAUGAUGGAACUCUGAUGUGACUGUCGCAUCAUGGCACCUAUAGAAAAUACCAAUUGAUAGAGAGUCAAUAUUCAAUAAGUUUAUCUCACAAUUAUUUGAUUUAAACCGAUUCUUUUCAUAUGGUUCAUCACAUAAGGGGUUUCUGAGUAAUCCAAGCAAUUAAGCUACUGGCAGGAUUUGGAGAUAAAUCUCGAAACGAUAUGCAAUUCAAUGACGACUGAAAGGGCUUAGGAUACAAUCAGAAAAGCAUUGUAAUGCUUAGCUUUUAGUUUAACACACUUUUCUUCCUUUAGAGAAGAGAGGCAGGGGAAAGCCAUAGGAACAGUCUGAUAGGUAUCAAGUUUUAUCCAUACAUACAUACAUAUAUAUACACAUACACAAAUAUUCAUUGACCAUAAAGUAUUACAUGCAACUCAAAACUAAAAAUAAGAGAGAGACUUAGUGGAAAACCCGAAAUCUCUUACCCAAAAAACUCAAUGCGCAAUUAGAUCAUCAGGCUUCAUGUCAUAUUGUUUUUCGUUUAAGAAAACCUUCUUCUAGUUCAAGUAAUACCAAUUUAAGUUUAAAUACCUUAAAUAUUCAGAAUACAUAAUUUGGAAAUAGAAAAAAACAUAAACAUAAUCAUACUUGGAGAGUGAUGGCAAAAGUAUUAUAUCAGCCAGAAAAACCUUGCAAAGAACAAAAAUUCCACAAAAUCAGUAUAUUAGCACUUCCUGCAAAAUCCCAAAAUAAAAAAUUAGAAAAAUCAAAUUUGAUAACAUAAUACAAAUUCGUAUCUGUUAGAGUAGACUCCAUUUAAAUUAGAAUAAUUAGGUUUAGGAUAAAUACCCAAACAGUUCUACUUGAUUUGGUCCUUGCUGCAAAAAUGCAGGCAUAGUGUUAUGCACAGUAGACUUUUUCUUGCCGGUCCAGCAAUGACCACUAACACAGCAGGCACAAUUAAAAGGUCCACCACUUCUCGAACAAAAAACCUACUUUACACAAGUUUUUUGAAUUAUAAUCAAAAUAAUUAGAUUAAAUGCAAAAUUAAAACUCAUUUCAGAAAAUGAAAUUGAAAUUAACCGAAACCCUGAUUGAAUUGAAGCCCUUGUUAAAAAAAGCCUCACUGAUAUUGAUUAAACAAAACCCUCCCUGAUUUUGAAACCUCAAACUCAGAGUCUCAUACCUUAAAUUUGAGCAUCGAACCUGAGAGACAAAGCCAUGAAGAUUGGUAAUAACGGUGUCGUCCGUUUCGCUGGCGUCCGGCAAGAAACAGUUCGCCGGAAUUCCAACACCCAAAAACCUGGCUGCUUGAUACUUGAAAUCGAGUUUUUGGUUCUAGGGUUUAGAUUAGGUGUGAGAGAUUGUGGAAUUAAAUUUGUUGGUUUGAGGGUAUGAGGGCUUGAGGGGUUUUGCGGUGGCUGUGAGCGAGAAAGAAAGGAAGCGAGGGUUGAUGGCAGUGAAAAGGUAAAAAUGGAAUAGAGAGAUGAGGAGAGGAGAGAAGAGAAGACCGCAGAGAGAGAAAUGGAAACAGAAGGAAAAGUCGGGAAGAAGGUCUGAGCGGAGCCUUCGACGAUGAUCGACGCGUGGCCAAGAAAGAAAGAAGCAGAAGCCGAAAGAAAACAUCGAGAAAAAGAAACAAAAACAGAGGGUUAAACUAUGAGGGACCUGUGGCAAAAAAGGGCAAAAUCGGAAUUUUAUUGUACCGAGCAAACAACACAACGUGGAUGUGAGAAGAAACAAAGGGCAUUUUCGUCAUUUCACUGUUAUAACUAGAGAUUAGGGCCCACGCGUUGCUGCAGAUUUUAAAAUCCUAUAAAACAUGUCAAAAGUUCUAAUCCGAAAUACUAUGUACGUACAUGUGAUUGAUGUCUCGUUCAUUAAGAAUAGGCAAAUACUAUUUACAUACAUGUGGAAUGCAAAAAGGCAAUUAUUAACCUUUUGCUCUAAAUAAUAAAGAACACUAAAACUAAAAUACAAUUUCGAAAAACCUUUCCAAGCAGUUGGAAUAUCAAGAAUAACGCUAAUUCUAAAAUACAAAUUCAAUUUCUCUCCAUGUUAAAAAGCAUGCAAGCAAAGAGUAAUUUCUAUUACCGGUAUGAUUAGCUUAUAAUGACUUGUCCGCUGUUAUAAAAAGCAUCCAGUUUCUCAUUGUCUCCAAUUUCCAUCACCUCAUUUGCCCCUUUUGCAGAUUUUAUUUUCUUUAUGUCUUUCAGUGAAGCCAACGUUUUGCCUUACGCUUUGAUGCAGCCUCAUCUAGAUAAUGUAAAUAUAAAUUUAUUACAUAUACCUAUAACAUUCGUUCACUAGGAUUUGGAGUUCACUAUUUCAACAAACUUUUAUGGAAGUUGUAUUCAUGAUCAUAAUAUUAUAUUAAUCCAAAUUUGAGACUUUGCUGAAUAUUGAUCUAAAUCCAGUUUAUCAGCCCCAAUCAGUGGCGGAUCCACAGUGGGGUCGUCGGGGUCGCACGACCCCUUGGAAACCAUGGAAACAACCUUGAAGCUCCCAUAUGCGACCUCUUGGAGCUGGGGUCGUCGGGGUCGGAGGCACGCCAACUGUUCGACAAAAGCCCUGAACGAAAACUGGGCAGGAAGAGGAAGAAGAAGCAGCCCACUCAAAUGAGCUUGGUUGUGUGCUUGGUUGCAUGCCUGUUUUUGUCAAGUGAAUGAUAUUUAUACAUGCUACUUUUUAUAACUCUAUCCAGUUUAAUUGGUCUUUCUGAUAAAGAAAUGAUAGGGGUUGGAGGAGUGCUAUAUGAGAACGAGAACAUUAAGAAGAUACGGAAAUUAAUUUGAAACAUCAAGCUGUCAGGGAAAGCAAAAAUUUGGAUACGCCAGUAACAAGACAAUAAAAGAGGAAGUUUAAGUGAAUCUUACUUGCAUGAAUCCACCUAAACGAAUUAUGAUGUGAUUUAUGCCAGAAUCUUGGGUCAGUCCCUAUACUUUAUUAUUGUUCCAUGCACAGAUUAAUUCGACACUGCACCAAACGCCCGACUAAUGGAGUUAGUACUAUCCGACGACUAUUUAUCUUAUCCGACUGAAAUAGUCAAUACAGUCCGAAGUACCAAACAACAACAACAACAACAACAAAGCCUUUUCCCACUAAGUGGGGUCGGCUAUAUGAAUCCUAGAACGCCAUUGCGCUCAUUUGUGUCAUGUCCUCUGUUAGAUCCAAGUACUCAAGUCUUUUCUUAGGGUCUCUUCCAAAGUUUUCCUAGGUCUUCCUUUACUCCUUCGGCCCCGAACCUCUGUCCCGUAGUCACAUUUCCGAACCGGAGCGUCAAUAGGCCUUCUUUGCACAUGUCCAAACCACCGGAACCGAUUUUCUCUUAUAUUUCCUUCAAUUUUGGCUACUCCUACUUUACCUCGGAUAUCCUAAUUCCCAAUCUUAUCCUUUCUCGUGUGCCCAUACAUCCCACGAAGCAUCCUCAUCUCCGCUACACCCAUUUUGUGUACGUUGAUGCUUCAUCGCCCAACAUUCUGUGCCAUACAAUAUCGCUGGCCUUAUUGCCGUCCUAUAAAAUUUUCGCUUGAGCUUCAGUGGCCUACGACGGUCACACAACACGCCGGAUGCACUCUUACACUUCAUCCAUCCAGCUUGUAUUCUAUGGUUGAGAUCUCCAUCUAAUUCUCCGUUCUCUUGCAAGAUAGAUCCUAGGUAGCGAAAACGGUCACUUUUUGUGAUCUUCUCUAGAUUGCUCCGGUCAUUAGUGUGGAUAAGUAUAUAAAUGGAUAGAGAUAGGAAAGCAAACACAAGAUGUACGUGGUUCACCCAGAUUGGCUACGUCCACGGAAUAGAGGAGUUCUUAUUAAUUGUGAAGGGUUUACACAAGUACAUAGGUUCAAGCUCUCCUUUAGUGGGUACAAGUGAAUGAUUUAGUACAAAUGACAUUAGGAAAUAUUGUGGGAGAAUGAUCUCGUAGCCACGAAACUUCUAAGUACCGGAGUGUGGUAUCGUCUUGACUUGCCUUAUCUGUCUCAUAGGUAGAUGUGGCAUCUUCUCUGGAAGUACUCUUCCUCCAUCCAGGGGUGGUAUCUGUAACUGGUGGAGAUGCACAAGGUAAUGUAUCAAUUUCACUUGAAGCUUACUUGUAGUUUCAUGGCUUGGUCCAAGCGAGAUACAAACCAUGUAGUAGGAGUCCCCCAAGUCGCCGAGCUGGGGAUCUGCUGAAAGAGGUGACAGACAAGGUAAGCAAUCAGAGCUCCGGCUGAUUGUUCACAUUCUCCCUAUCUUGCAGGCAGCAUGAAGGAUAAAGAGAAGAAAAAUGAGGAAGAGAUGAUAUGGGAUACUUUUGCUUUUGAAGAAGUAACUUUCCACAGGCUUAUUCUUGAACUGGGCUGGAGGGUUUUCUGGUUUCCUCCAGAGUAUAAGGCCGACUGAAGAAUUUGAGGGUCAAAACAAGUCCAUCAAAUCUAGAGUACGUUCGACCCUGCUGAUAUGGGAUACUUUUUCUUUUGACAGAGUAGUGGAUGUAUCGGCACGUGUGCUGUUACGCUUGUCUCCACAUGCUUCCUUGUAUCCUUCUCACUUGCCCUAUCUGUUCCUCAGGCAGAUGCGGUAUCUUCCCUGGAAGCAUAAGAUGUUGAAGAUGAGUACUCGAGAGCAAUGCCAGGUAAGUAAUCAGGUAAGGGGUUCCAGGCAGUCAGUUCCUGGCUGGAAGCUUAAUUCCAAGUGCUGACUGAUUGCUCUCUUUCUCCUUGUCUUACAGGUAAGAACAAGGCCAAAGGAAAAGACAGGGAAAAAGCAUGAUAUGGGAUACUCUUGCUUUUAACCCUGAUGAUAUGAGAUAAUCUUGCUCUAGUAUAGCUUGUUUAUAGAGGUAUUAUCGGGGGGAAAGAAAGCUGAAUAUUUCGAAAGGCUUUGUUGGGAGUGCCCUCUCAGAUAAGAGAAAGGGUUGAGCAUUUUUGCAGGUCUGCCUGUCCGUUAGGGAUGGAAGGUCGACAUAUAUAUAGGAGUCUCCCUAACAUCAAGUAAUAAUGCUAUUCCUUUACCCUGCUUGGUCAUAGCACGGUAGUGGGAGCUGCCAGCUUCACAUGUUUUAACUCUGUCAGAGCACUUUGAAAAAGUGGUUUGUGGUAUCUGGAAAGCUGAUGUUGCGUGUGAAGAUUACAGACCUGUCGGGGGUCUGGCUCUCGAGAUUCGGAGAACGAUGCCUCUUCGAUUUUUGAGAAAGCAAUCCUGCUGGGGGUCUGGCUCUCGAGAUUCGGAGAACGAUGCCUCUUCGAUUUUUGAGAAAGUAAUCAUGUUGGGAGUCUGGCUCUCGAGAUUCGGAGGGCCGUGCCUCUUCGAUUUUAGAGCAAGCAAUCUUGUUGGGAGUGUUUUCUCGAAUGUGAGUAAAGGUUGGGCAUGUUUGCUAGUCUACCUUGCCACGAAGCACGGAAGUUGACACACAGAGACUUUCCAAUUAUCCAGCAGUGGUACUGUUCCUUUACCCUCUCUUCGAUUUUUGAGAAAGUAAUCAUGUUGGGAGUCUGGCUCUCGAGAUUCGGAGGGCGGUGCCUCUUCGAUUUUGGAGCAAGCAAUCUUGUUGGGAGUGUUUUCUCGAAUGUGAGUAAAGGUUGGGCAUGUUUGCUAGUCUACCUUGCCACGAAGCACAAAGGUUGACACACAGGGACUUUCCAAUUAUCCAGCAGUGGUACUGUUCCUUUACCCUCUCUUCGAUUUUUGAGAAAGUAAUCAUGUUGGGAGUCUAGCUCUCGAGAUUCGGAGGGCGGUGCCUCUUCGAUUUUGGAGCAAGCAAUCUUGUUAGGGAGUGUUUUCUCGAAUGUGAGUAAAGGUUGGGCAUGUUUUGCUAGUCUACCUUGCCACGAAGCACAGAGGUUGACACACCGGGACUUUCCAAUUAUCCAGCAGUGGUACUGUUCCUUUACCCUUGUGGGUAAUAAUAUGGUAGCUAGACCUUCAAAAUUUAUGUGUCUAAACUUUGUUAGUGUUGUUUCUUUGCAAUUCUUUUACCCUUCUUGGUCAGAGCGAUGUAGUGAGCUGCAAGCUUCACGUGUCUCAACUUUGUCAGAGAACUUUGGCAAAGUUAUCUGUGGUACCCAUGAGCUACUGUUGCGUGUGGGAAGUGGGUGAUUGAACAGUACGAUUCAUGUGCUUUCUACUUCGCCAGAAAUCUUCGACAGAAUGCCCAUAAUUUCCGCAAAGCUGAGUGUGCGUGUGACAGGUGCUGACAAGGCUGGAAAAGUAGGUGCCUCUUCGAUUUCUGAAAUCGGCCCUCGUGGUCUCUGAGCAGCCCAGCUUUUGAGAAAGCAAGCCUCUUCGAUUUCUGAGAUCGGCCUUUGUGGUCUUUGAGCAGCCCAGCUUUUGAGAAAGCAAACGCCUCUUCGAUUUCUGAGAUCGACCCUCGUGGUCUCUGAGCAGCCCAGCUUUUGAGAAAGCAAACGCCUCUUCGAUUUCUGAGCAGGCGCCUCUUCGAUUUCUGAAGCUUCGUCGAGUGCAGAUUUUUAUAGGGGCUGACAUUAAGUUCCAAAGCACACUUGAAUAUCCACCAGUAGAAGCUCCAUUCUUGCACUUCUAAGAUCUUGAUUUGUCCGACCUCUUCUCUCUUCAACACCUUUGAAAAUGUCUGGCCCCUCCGACCGUCGUUUUGACUUGAACCUUGUUGAAGAGGCAGCCCCGCCUUCUCCAGACAACAUAUGGCGCCCAUCCUUCGUCUCCCCUACUGGUCCUCUUACCGUUGGGGAUUCCGUGAUGAAGAAUGAUAUGACCGCUGCGGUAGUGGCCAGGAACCUUCUCACUCCCAAAGAUAACAGACUACUUUCCAAACGGUCUGAUGAGUUGGCUGUUAAGGAUUCUCUGGCUCUCAGUGUUCAGUGUGCAGGUUCUGUGUUUAAUAUGGCCAACGCCUAUUUGCUCGAACCCGCCAAGUUGAAUAAUUGGCGGCUGAAGUGAUGAGUCUCAAACAGGAGAUUAGAGGGCUCAAGCAUGAGAAUAAACAGUUGCACCGGCUCGCACAUGACUAUGCUACAAACAUGAAGAGGAAGCUUGACCAGAUGAAGGAAUCUGAUGGUCAGGUUUUACUUGAUCAUCAGAGAUUUGUGGGUUUGUUCCAAAGGCAUUUAUUGCCUUCGUCUUCUGGGGCUGUACCGCGUAAUGAAGCUCCAAAUGAUCAAUCCUCUGAUGCCUCCUCCUUCUAGGGUUUUGUCCAGUACUGAGGCUCCGAAUGAUCCCCCUCCGGUGCCUUCUCUUUCUGGGGCUCUACCGACUGCUGAGACUUCUCCUAAGCAACCUUUGUGAAGGCUCCCUCUUGUUUGUUUAUUUUGACUCAAGUAUAUGUACAUAUUUGUAACUUAUCGGGGAUAUCAAUAAAUAAGCUUUCCUUCAUUUCAACGUAUUGUGUUAAAUACACCAAAGCCUUCUUCGCUAAGUUCUUUGAAUUUUCUUUUGUUGAAGCUUGUAUGUUGAAGCUUUGUGAGUGGAGCAUGUAGGUUGAGGUAGUGUUCCCUUAAUUUCCCGAGUGAGGAAAACUUCUCGGUUGGAGACUUGGAAAAUCCAAGUCACUGAGUGGGAUCGACUAUAUGAAUCUUAGAACGCCAUUGUGUUCUGUCCUGUGUCAUGUCCUCCGUUAGAUCCAAGUACUCUAAGUCUUUUCUUAGGGUCUCUUCCAAAGUUUUCCUAGGUCUUCCUCUGCCCCUUCGGCCCUGAACCUCUGUCCCAUAGUCGCAUCUUCUAAUCGGAGCGUCAGUAGGCCUUCUUUGCACAUGUCCAAACCACCGUAACCGAUUUUCUCUCAUCUUUCCUUCAAUUUCGGCUACUCCUACUUUACCCCGGAUAUCCUCAUUCCUAAUCUUAUCCUUUCUCGUGUGCCCACACAUCCAACGAAGCAUCCUCAUCUCCGCUACACCCAUUUUGUGUACGUGUUGAUGCUUCACCGCCCAACAUUCUGUGCCAUACAGCAUCGCUGGCCUUAUUGCCGUCCUAUAAAAUUUUCCCUUGAGCUUCAGUGGCAUACGGCGGUCACACAACACGCCGGAUGCACUCUUCCACUUCAUCCAUCCAGCUUGUAUUCUAUGGUUGAGAUCUCCAUCUAAUUCUCCGUUCUUUUGCAAGACAGAUCCUAGGUAACGAAAACGGUCGCUCUUUGGUAUUUCUUGAUCUCCGAUCCUCACCCCUAACUCGUUUUGGCCUCCAUUUGCACUGAACUUGCACUCCAUAUAUUCUGUCUUUGAUCGGCUUAGGCGAAGACCUUUAGAUUCCAACACUUCUCUCCAAAGGUUAAGCUUUGCAUUUACCCCUUCCUGAGUUUCAUCUAUCAACACUACAUCGUCUGCGAAAAGCAUACACCAAGGAAUAUCACCUUGAAUAUGUCCUGUUAACUCAUCCAUUACCAACGCAAAAAGGUAAGGACUUAAGGAUGAGCCUUGAUGUAAUCCUACAGUUAUGGGAAAGCUUUCGGUUUGUCCUUCAUGAGUUCUUACGGCAGUCUUUACUCCUUCAUACAUAUCCUGUAUAGCUUGGAUAUAUGCUACUCGUACUCCUUUCUUCUCUAAAAUCCUCCAAAGAAUGUCUCUUGGGACCCUAUCAUACGCUUUUUCCAAAUCUAUAAAGACCAUGUGUAAAUCCUUUUUCCCAUCUCUAUAUCUUUCCAUCAAUCUUCGUAAGAGAUAGAUUGCCUCCAUGGUUGAGCGCCCUGGCAUGAACCCGAAUUGGUUGUCCGAAACCCGUGUCUCUUGCCUCAAUCUAUGCUCAAUGACUCUCUCCCAGAGCUUCAUUGUAUGACUCAUUAGCUUAAUUCCCCUAUAGUUCAUGCGAGGCUAAAAAAAAAUUUCGCGCUGCGCGCGCUAUGACCCCAUAAACAUUUUUUCCUGGAUCCGCCACUGGCCCCAAUGUCGAGCUGCAUGACAGAAAUUUCGAGUAAAUUGAUAUAAAUGUACUGGAAGUAGAAGAAAUUAUCUAGAGAAAUGUAGCUAUUACAAGAAAAGAAAGGUUGGCAGUAAUACAGGAUAAACGACUGGUGCCAUCUUCAACAAUUGCCAUAAGUUUUGAUUGAAAUUCUACAAACUCCAUCUAUUAGACCAAUCAUCGCCGAAAUUAAUUAUAUCCGCCGACAAACAUUAAUAGAUCAAAGCAGAAGAAUAAGAUGGCGCGUGUUGGGAUAGUUUCGUAGGAAACUGGAAGAUCUAUGAGAGGAGCAAGGAGCCCUACUAUGAAGACAGUGAAGGACAAUCCCAUAGCAUAAACAAAGAUGCGAAGCCAUAAAACGUGAUACACUGUCAGUGCAACACCAGCCAGGAAUGACGAGGACAUCAUGGUAAGCGUUACGCCUAGCACCGGUAAGGUAAAUCUCAUGGCAGCAUAGAUUAUACUAGGGUCAUAUGUUUGCGCCCACAUAAGGGCAAUUGAAGCAGUAAUGGAGCCGCACAUAGCCACGGUAUUGCAUAUCAAGAAAAUUCUGAAUAGGCUAUGCGGAAGAAAAUUUGGGGUGCCCACAUUAUUUCCAGUGUCACUGUAUCCACCUGGUACUGUGAAGCCUUGAGCAAACGUUAUACCAACCACCAGCGUUGACACCAAUAGGAGAGUAUUGACACUCUCUUUCGAAAACAUUAGGUUAUCAGAAUUGUGCAAGGACUUCGGAACAGAAUCCUGUGUCUCUUUGGAGACUUUUCGCUCUUCAGAUCGUGGAGCAUUAGCCAAGUUCAAGGCCAUAAGUGUUAGUUUCUGCAAGAAAAACGAAAGUUUCAGUUCUUGACCAAGUUGUUAUAUAGAUCAUGCAUGACAAACACGAGAAACGAUUAUAAAAUAAAGGCCAUAAGGGUUAGCUUCUGCAGGGAAAAAUCGUGUGUAAUCAGGAUAUCCUCCCCUCUUUAUAUCUCUCUUAUGCAAUGAGAGGGACAAGAAGGGGAUACAUAUACCUCUGGUUAAUUAAUUACGUUGUAGAAUUCUCUCCUAUGUACGACAUACUUGUAGGUAGUUGUAGUGUCACACUGUAGGUAAAGGAAACUAAUCGAAAAGAUGCGUUGAGAAAUUACGUAGUCUCCGAAACAACAUCUCUUUAUCUACCCCGGUCUUCUCUGCAAGGUCCAAUGCCGUCUCACCUGCAUUGUUCAAACUAUUUAAAUUGGCUCUCUCAUACGCAUGGAAGAGGGAAAGAAUUUUGACGAUCUUAGGAUGCCAGUUUUGGACGGCUAUAUGUAGAGGGGUAUUUCCACUUUGAUCUCUUUGCUUGCUAAGCACUUGAAGAUCGCGCUUUCCAAUAAUAUAUCGGACAACAUCAACUCUUCCAUGCGCGGCCGCAAGAUGAAGAAUAUUCCGGCCUUCAUGGUCACUUGAUCCCUCAAGUCGGGGCAAUAAUCGAGAAACUCUUCAACAACCCUGCAAUGGCCUUUUUUGGACGCCACAUGUAUAGGAAGCAACUGAUUUUCGUCACCUUUGUAUGCCAAUCCAGUAAAUUUGUGCAACAAUAUGCGUACCGCCACAAAGUUAUCCAUAUAAGCCGCAACUGUAAGAGGAGACAUCCACCCUUGGUCCAUUGAAUUGAUGAGAUCAGCUGAAUCCAUUUUGCUCAAUAUCGUCUCUAGGAGAUCUACAUAGCAUAUGCAUUUUAGAAGCAACUCUGUCAAGAAUAAGUAUUUAUGAAGAGAGAAAUAAACAAAAGGUAAAUUGUCAUAAUGCCAUAUUACAAAGAGUUAGAGCAUCUCCAACAGUGUAAAAAAAUGAUUUUGAUGAGCCACGCAGGUAAAACUUUGCUCCCGCUCCAAUGGUAUGUGCAAUUGAGUAUGAAAAUUUUGCUCAUUCCCACAAAGUAAGCAAUAUUAUUGACUACUUCAAUAUUAUAUGCUAAUGACAUGAAAAAGGCAAUGACAGAGGCAUACUUGUAUACUUCUUUCUGUUGGCUCUGGGCAGCCACCAUUGAGAAACUAUACUCUUAAAAAAUAUCCAGCAUACAACCCCCGCCAUCACAAAGAGUGGAUUGAUGAGAUUGAUUAAUAUGGACAUGACCAACGCGAACACUGCUAUAGAAAAUAGCAAUGACAGAGGUAUAUUUGUAUACUUCUUUCUGUUGGUUCUGGGCAGCCACCAUUGAGAAACUUCAAUCAAGCAUACAACCCCCGCCAGCACAAAAAAAAGUGGAAUGUUGAAAUUCCAUAACAUGAGCAUGACCAACACGAACACUGCAUCAUAUUUCUUGAGGCCACCUUUUGCUAUACUUGUAACCCAUGCCCAAACAACCGCCAGCAAAACAAAGAGUGGAAUGUUGAUAUACCAUAACAUGAGCAUGACCAACACGAACACUGCAUCAUAUUUCUUGAGGCCACCUUUUGCUAUAUUUGUACCCCAUGCCAAAAUUUAAAAAAAUACUCAUUACUAGCUAUAUGUACCAAAACAAAAAUUACUCACAAGUAUACCAAAAAGAAAAAAGGGUAACUGCAAAUGCUUAAUAUUUACCUUGUUUCCUCCAUAUGAUCGCACUACGAAGAAUUGAGUUGCCGUUCGAUCCUUGCCAAAAAUUACCAGAAUUAGCGUCUGUUGUGCUAUUUGGCGUCUUGUCUACCAUUGCUUUAACAAGUUCAAGAUUGGCAGUUUCAGCAGCCAUGCACAAGGGAGUCUUUCCGGAUUCAUUUGUGGAAUGCAACGUGGAUCCAGAUCCAUCUUCGCCGACCAAAAACAUAGCCACAUCUUGGUGAUUAUUUUCCACAGCGACAUGCAACGCAGUGUUCCCUCUCUCGUCCUCUUCAUUAAACGUAUUACCUUG